AAUGAUACAUAACGACACACACAUGUCGACACAAUAGCCUGGGUGCCUUGCAGCAAUUUUGCCAAAGGGUUGGUUAUUGGGAUAUGUGGAGGCCUAAC
rnacentral:sRNA from 1 species